GAUGAAUGCUGGCGGCGUGCCUAACACAUGCAAGUCGAGCGGCAGCGAGGGGUGCUUGCACCCUGUCGGCGAGCGGCGAACGGCUGAGUAACGCGUAGGAAUUUGCCCCAAAGUGAGGAAUAACUGCCCGAAAGGGUAGCUAAUGCCGCAUAUGGUCUUCGGAUUAAAGGAUUUAUCCGCUUUGGGAGAAGCCUGCGUUGGAUUAGGUUGUUGGUAGGGUAAUGGCCUACCAAGCCGACGAUCCAUAGCUGGUCUGAGAGGAUGAUCAGCCAGACUGGAACUGAGACACGGUCCAGACUCCUACGGGAGGCAGCAGUGAGGAAUCUUCCACAAUGGGCGAAAGCCUGAUGGAGCAACGCCACGUGAAGGAUGAAGGCCUUCGGGUUGUAAACUUCUUUUAUGAGUGAAGAAUAUGACGGUAACUCGUGAAUAAGCACCGGCUAACUACGUG
rnacentral:rRNA from 1 species